AUUGAACGCUGGCGGCAUGCCUUACACAUGCAAGUCGAACGGCAGCACGGGAGCAAUCCUGGUGGCGAGUGGCGAACGGGUGAGUAAUAUAUCGGAACGUGCCCAGUCGUGGGGGAUAACGCAGCGAAAGCUGUGCUAAUACCGCAUACGAUCUAUGGAUGAAAGCGGGGGAUCGCAAGACCCCGCGCGAUUGGAGCGGCCGAUAUCAGAUUAGCUAGUUGGUGGGGUAAAGGCCCACCAAGGCGACGAUCUGUAGCUGGUCUGAGAGGAAGACCAGCCACACUGGAACUGAGACACGGUCCAGACUCCUACGGGAGGCAGCAGUGGGGAAUUUUGGACAAUAGGCGCAAGCCUGAUCCAGCAAUGCCGCGUGCAGGAUGAAGGCCUUCGGGUUGUAAACUGCUUUUGUACGGAACGAAACGGUCCUUUCUAAUACAAGGGGCUAAUGACGGUACCGUAAGAAUAAGCACCGGCUAACUACGUGCCAGCAGCCGCAGUAAUAC
rnacentral:rRNA from 1 species